CACAUCAUACCAUUCCGUAGCCACUUCCGUUACGCAACAUUUUUAAGGUUAUCUAUCGAGAUCUUCAGGAAAUAUACUCUGAAAAUUUUCGUUUUUCGAACAUAAAAAUGCCCCCAAAACCCAAAGUGCAAAUCCAUGAUGUAAAUCCAUUCCUUCAACGGGUCAGAGAGUUUUUAUUGGGACGAAAACAUACGUUAGCUUUACGUUUCCAGGACUUCCUUGCAACAAGAUCACCACCUCCUCCCGUUCUACCAGACGGAGCCACUCACAAACUAAGUGCCAAUUACUAUUUCACAAGGGAUGGCAGGAGGGAAGUAAAACCUCCAGAAGUUGUUGCUGUACCUAAAAGAAUUGCUGGAGAUGAUGCCUCGGGGGUUAAAAAAAUUACCCCUGGCAAAACUUAUAAUUGGGAUUAAGCAAUCAUUAUAGUUAUACAGCACAUUAUUUAUUAGGAAAAUAGCAGCACAUAUUAGGAAUUCCUUAGGAUGAUGAGUUUGAACGUAACAAAAAACAUUAGAAAUUAAAAAAAAAAACAGUAAGUAAGCCUUUUUCCAAGGCACCAGAGUACAAGUUAGAUGUUGAGAUUUUUUUCUAAAAAAUACUUGGUUUAUUCAUAAAGUUAUGAAAGCAAUGGGGAAUUACACACAGGGUGUUAUCAGUUAACAAUAGUGUACAACAUAUCACCCAUUCCAAAAUGAAAAUAAAACAAUGUUUUUCUUCAAUA
rnacentral:misc_RNA from 1 species